UGACACUGAACAUUGAGCCUUGAUGUGUAGGAUAGGUGGGAGGCUUUGAAGUGUGGACGCCAGUCUGCAUGGAGCCGACCUUGAAAUACCACCCUUUAAUGUUUGAUGUUCUAACGUUGACCCGUAAUCCGGGUUGCGGACAGUGUCUGGUGGGUAGUUUGACUGGGGCGGUCUCCUCCUAAAGAGUAACGGAGGAGCACGAAGGUUGGCUAAUCCUGGUCGGACAUCAGGAGGUUAGUGCAAUGGCAUAAGCCAGCUUGACUGCGAGCGUGACGGCGCGAGCAGGUGCGAAAGCAGGUCAUAGUGAUCCGGUGGUUCUGAAUGGAAGGGCCAUCGCUCAACGGAUAAAAGGUACUCCGGGGAUAACAGGCUGAUACCGCCCAAGAGUUCAUAUCGACGGCGGUGUUUGGCACCUCGAUGUCGGCUCAUCACAUCCUGGGGCUGAAGUAGGUCCCAAGGGUAUGGCUGUUCGCCAUUUAAAGUGGUACGCGAGCUGGGUUUAGAACGUCGUGAGACAGUUCGGUCCCUAUCUGCCGUGGGCGCUGGAGAACUGAGGGGGGCUGCUCCUAGUACGAGAGGACCGGAGUGGACGCAUCACUGGUGUUCGGGUUGUCAUGCCAAUGGCACUGCCCGGUAGCUAAAUGCGGAAGAGAUAAGUGCUGAAAGCAUCUAAGCACGAAACUUGC
rnacentral:rRNA from 1 species